GAUGAAGAACGCAGCGAAAUGCGAUAAGUAGUGUGAAUUGCAGAAUUCAGUGAAUCAUCGAAUCUUUGAACGCACAUUGCGCCCUUUGGUAUUCCUUAGGGCAUGCCUGUUCGAGCGUCAUUUAAACCUUCAAGCUAAGCUUGGUGUUGGGUGACUGUCCGCUUCACGGCGGACUCGCCUCAAAAUUAUUGGCGGCCGGUACAUUGGCUUCGAGCACAGCAGAAACGCGAACUCGGGCCCGUCGUAUUGGCUCCCAGAAGCUAUCUUCACAAUUUUGACCUCGGAUCAGGUAGGGAUACCCGCUGAACUUAAGCAUAUCAAUAAGCGGAGGA
rnacentral:misc_RNA from 1 species